rnacentral:lncRNA from 1 species
AUUGACAUUUACACUUUCUCCUCUCUGAUGCUGACUUCCUCAGAAAUUCCAAAUCAGACAGCUCAAAGCCUGAAAUUUGAAAUUACCUUUCUUCUUCUUCUUCUUCUUCUUCAGGUUUCUUCUCCAUUCCGCCCACAAACUCUUAACUUCAUCUUCUUCAUCACUUUCCACGAAUCUUACUUCUUCCUCUUUAUUCGAAUCCAAUCUCCUCCAUGACAAAAUACCAUUUCAUUUCCUUCUCACCUCCGCCGCCAUGAUGUCAUCCGCCCUCCUCCCCUUCAUCCUCCUCCUCCUCCUCCUAGCUCAAACCACCGCCGC